AGUGAACGCUGGCGGUAGGCCUAACACAUGCAAGUCGAACGGCAGCACAGUAAGAGCUUGCUCUUACGGGUGGCGAGUGGCGGACGGGUGAGGAAUACAUCGGAAUCUACUUUUUCGUGGGGGAUAACGUAGGGAAACUUACGCUAAUACCGCAUACGACCUACGGGUGAAAGCAGUGGAUCUUCGGACCUUGCGCGAUUGAAUGAGCCGAUGUCGGAUUAGCUAGUUGGCGGGGUAAAGGCCCACCAAGGCGACGAUCCGUAGCUGGUCUGAGAGGAUGAUCAGCCACACUGGGACUGAGACACGGUCCAGACUCCUACGGGAGGCAGCAGUGGGGAAUAUUGGACAAUGGGCGCAAGCCGAUCCAGCCAUACCGCGUGGGUGAAGAAGGCCUUCGGGUUGUAAAGCCCUUUUGUUGGGAAAGAAAAGCAGCAGGUUAAUACCCCGCUGUUCUGACGGUACCCAAAGAAUAAGCACCGGCUAACUUCGUG
rnacentral:rRNA from 1 species